GACGAACGCUGGCGGCGUGCUUAACACAUGCAAGUCGAACGGAAAGGCCCUGCUUUUGUGGGGUGCUCGAGUGGCGAACGGGUGAGUAACACGUGAGUAACCUGCCCUUGACUUUGGGAUAACUUCAGGAAACUGGGGCUAAUACCGGAUAGGAGCUCCUGCUGCAUGGUGGGGGUUGGAAAGUUUCGGCGGUUGGGGAUGGACUCGCGGCUUAUCAGCUUGUUGGUGGGGUAGUGGCUUACCAAGGCUUUGACGGGUAGCCGGCCUGAGAGGGUGACCGGCCACAUUGGGACUGAGAUACGGCCCAGACUCCUACGGGAGGCAGCAGGGGGGAAUAGUGAAAAAUGGGCGGAAGCCUGAUGCAGCAACGCCGCGUGCGGGAUGACGGCCUUCGGGUUGUAAACCGCUUUCGCCUGUGACGAAGCGUGAGUGACGGUAAUGGGUAAAGAAGCACCGGCUAACUACGUG
rnacentral:rRNA from 1 species